rnacentral:lncRNA from 1 species
UCACUGCAAUGUGUAAUAUAUAUUAUUUUAGCCUUUUUCCUAUAUGUACAUUUCAAGAAAAUGCACACAUGUUCUUGCUGCAUUUGACAAUAACUUUUAGGUGAAAAAUGACUUUCUUUUGUUCCAUUGUGUUCUCUGUAUUUCCUUCUACCUUUUCCUAUAUGUACAUUUGCUGCAUAAAUGUUGUGACUAUAUGUAUGGGAUUGACAUGUAAGUUUUCCCCUUUAUAGGAAGCUUAAGAAUUAAGUUAUCUGAUGGUGAGUUAUUUGUGGUUUCACGGUAAUAGCAUGUUCAGUUCAUCACUGAGAUAUCUCCUCUAGUUACCUUUUUUCAGUGUGCUAUGUGCAUCUAGCUGGUGGCCACCAGCUAAAAUGGUGAGAGCAGCCAUGAAGGACUUGCCAGUCGAACUAAAGUGAGAGCGGGCAUGAAGAAAGCUCGAUUUGUGGUUGAAGGCUGCAAAAAAUUAUUCUAGUGAGCAGUCUAGCCAAUUAAUUACAAUUAGUCCUUUAAGUUAGAUUUAGUAUUAGCUGAAUUACUUGCUUCUAUUGACAGUGAAAAAGGUUACCAUAAUUUUAUAAAAAUUGAAGGUCAAAAGAAAGUAAAUUAUUGUAUCACUAUUUAUUGUUGCCUUUAUUACUACUCUUCUAUGUACCCAGAGAGUUUGAAUCCCAGACAUUGCAAUAGAACUAUUGGGUGAUUAUACAAAAGAAGACAUGACUUCAUGUCUGACAGCACUGUUGUGAUGGUGUAGUGUUAGUAACUCAUGCAAGGAAGACCUUUUAUAGUGUAUAUUUGCCCUUGUUUUAGCAGGCACUCUCUGGUUUUCAUUAUUUUUCUUUAUGAAAAUAAAAAUAUGC